rnacentral:rRNA from 1 species
UACGUAGGGGGCUAGCGUUGUCCGGAAUCAUUGGGCGUAAAGCGCGUGUAGGCGGUCCGGUAAGUCCGCUGUGAAAGUCGAGGGCUCAACCCUCGAAUGCCGGUGGAUACUGUCGGGCUUGAGUACGGGAGAGGCGAGUGGAAUUCCUGGUGUAGCGGUGAAAUGCGCAGAUAUCAGGAGGAACACCAAUGGCGAAGGCAGCUCGCUGGGCUAUAACUGACGCUCAUGCACGAAAGCGUGGGGAGCAAACAGG